rnacentral:rRNA from 1 species
UGAUAGUAUCCUAUAUAUGCCAUUAGACGGAAGACUUGGUUCAAGACACUGAUGAAGGGCGUGGCAAGCUACGAAAUGCUCCGGCGAGGUGCAAGCAGCCUUUGAACCGGAGAUCCCCGAAUGAGACAUCUCAUUAAACCCGAGAGGGUGAGGAACCUGGGGAACUGAAGCGUCUCAGUACCCAGAGGAAAAGAAAUCAAUUGAGAUUCCGUUAUUAUCAGCGAGAGAAAACGGAACAGGGCAAACUGAAUCCUUUAUAGAAAUAUAAUGGAGAUGUGGUGUUAUAAGACUCAUAUAUCGACCUAAUCCGAUGAAUUUAAAGUCUCCUGGAAAGGAGUGCCAAAGAGGGUGAUAGCCCCGUAGAACUAAUUGGAAGGCGUGUGAGUAUCUUGAGUAGUGUACAUUGGAAAUUGUGCACGAAUUUGGGAGGCAUCAACUUCCAACCCUAAAUAUGUCUUGAGUCCGAUAGCGUACUAGUACCGUGAGGGAAAGUUGAAAAGAACCCGUGAUAGGGAGUUAAAAGAGUCGGAAAUCUAAUGGUUACAGAAAGGUGCGGCUUCAAGGAGUUGCACCGUGCGUUUCGAAUAAUGCGCCAGGGAGUUUAUCUUAGUGGCAAGAGUAAGUCUUUACUGGACGUACUCGAAGGGAAACCAAUUUCUCGCAGCUUGCAAGGAGAGAGGUAUGAAAAUGCCUUAAGUCACUAGGGUAAUACCCGAAACCGGGCGAUCUAGUCGUGAGCAAGGUGAAGCCGUUCGAAUGAUCGGUGGAGGCCUGAAGAGGUGCUAUGUGCAUAUGUUCUUAUGACUUGUGACUAGGGGUGAAAGGCCAAUCGAGCCCGGUAAUAGCUGGUUCCUACCGAAAUAGGCCUAAGUCUAGUCUCAGAGGAGAUCGUUGAAGGGGUAGAGCUACGGAUUUGAAGGCCUGGGGGAGAAAUUCCUCACCUUCUUGUCCAACUCCAAAUAUUUCAACAUCGUAGAUACUGGGAAACGGGGCUACUGGGGUAAGCUUGUAGUCCUAAAGGGGAACAACCCAAACUAUAGUUAAGGUCCCUAAAUAUCAAUUAAGUGUGAACGGGUGAAAGGUGUUCAUCACCAAAGACAGCGGGGAGGUUGGCUUAGAAGCAGCCAUCCUUUAAAGAAAGCGUAACAGCUCACCCGUCAAGGUCAUGUGCCCUGAAAAUGGACGGGACUAAAUUGAUUACCGAUACUAUAGCCCACCUUACUUGAGUUUGGUGUGGGGUAGGUAGGUGUGCCGUUAGGGAAGAAACCAAUUCGUGAGGAUUGGAGGACCUGAUGGUAUUAAAAAUCCUGGUAGUAGUAGGAUCUAUCUAGAGUGAGAAUCUCUAGGACCGAAAGGGCGAGGGUUUCUCAGCAAUGUAGAUCAGCUGAGAGUAAGUUAGUCCUAACUGUACCCCUAAUCGGGCGUAUGGGAAAGGGAAAAUGGUUAAUAUUCCAUUACUACUUAAGUACGUGCGGCAACGCAAGAUUUUUUUCUGACGCUUCCGAAUAGACUAAUAGCUACCAUCGUGGUUAUCAAAUAAAACAAGUCAUUGGAGUACCGUAAUGGUGAGAAGAUGAGUAAAUUUAUAAUGAGCAGGCCUAGUGUUUGUUUAGUCAUUAUCUGGAGCCCGUGAAAAGGGAAAAAAUAAGGAUCUUAAGUAUCUAUACCUAGAACCGGCACUGGUGUCCCAGGGUGAGAAGCCCAAGGUCUGAGGGAUUAAUCUAGUUUAGGGAAUUCGACAGAAUAGCCCCGUGCCUUCGGUAUAAGGGGUCCCUGCGAUUGUCUUCGUAUGAGGGCGAUUACAGGGUGCAAUGACUAGGGAGGUCCGACUGUUUAACAAAAACAUAACGAACUGCUAGCCAGUAAUGGUUUGUAUAGUUCGUGACGUCUGCCCAGUGCUAGUACUUCAAACUCCAUUCCAAUGGAGCUAAGAGCUAGUAAACGGCGGGAAUAACUAUAAUUCUCUUAAGGUAGCGAAAUGCCUUGUCGUUUAAUUGACGACCUGCAUGAAGGGCGUAACGAGAUCUCUAUUGUCCCAAACUAGAUCCCCCCGAACAUAACCUUCUGGUGCAAAGUCCAGAGACUCCCAGUGGGAAGCGAAGACCCCAUGGAACUUUACUGUAGCUUAUUGUUGCGGUGUGAGACUCAUUGUGCAGUGUAGGUGGGAAUCGUUAAAGCGUAGUCGCCAGAUUGCGUGUAGAUACCAAUGAGACACCACCCUUUGAGUUUUACAUUGCUCACUUCUUUCGAGAAAGACAGCAGUUGGUAGACAGUUUGGCUGGGGCGGCACCCAGAUGAAAAGGUAUCAUUUGGGCCCAAAGGUAAGCUCAUCAGGUUCAGAAAUCCUGAGUAGAGUGCAAGAGCAAAAGCUUGCCUGACUGUGUUCUGAACAGUAAGGAACGCAGCAUCGAAAGAUUGGUCUAGCGAACCCCUGUGUCCCAAUUGAUGGGGGCCAGGUAUGACAGAAAAGCUAUCCUGGGGAUAACUGAGUUGUCGCGCCUAAGAGCUCAAAUCGACGGCGCGGUUUGCUACUUCGUUGUCGGCUCAUCGCAUCCUGGAUGUGCAGAAGCAUCCAAGGGUGGAGGUGUUCACUCAUUAAAGCGGUUCGUGAGCUGGGUUAAGAACGUUGCGAGACAGUUUGUAUGAUAUCUACUGGGAGUGUUCAAGGUCUGAGAGGAAGGAGCAUUUAGUACGAGAGGAACGGUGCCUCGACGCCUCUGGUGUAUCGGUUAUCUGAUAAGGUAGGCCGAGCAGCUACGCGUUACAUCAUAAGUGCUGAAAGCAUCUAAGCACGAAGGAUACCUCGAAAAGAGACCUAGAACGCCUGCAAAACACAGGUUUGAUGGGACUGGAGUGUAAGUACCAAGCUUCGGCGAGGUAUUCAGCUCGCAGUUUCCAAAGUUCGUAAAAUAUUAUCU